ensembl:misc_RNA Metazoa_SRP Metazoan signal recognition particle RNA
GCCAUUGUCAUUGUGGCACACGCCUGGAGUCACAGCUACUUUGGAGGCUGAGGCAGGAGGACUUCUUUGAGCCCAGGAGUUCUGUACUGUAGUACACUGUGCUGAUAGGGUAUUCGCACUAAGUUUGGCAUUAACAUGGGGACUUCCUGGGAGCAGGAAUCAUCAGGUUGCGAAGGAGGGGUCAACCAAGCCGUGUCAGAAACAGAGCAGGUCAAAAUUUCCAUUCUGAUCUGCAGCGGGUUCCACCUGUAAAUAACCACUGCAUUCCAGUCUGGACACCGUAGCAAGACCCUGUCUCU